CUUCGAGUAUUAAUCUUGAUUUUCUAAUUUUUACUUGAAGUUAUCAUAUUUAAGUACAAUGCAGACUGUCUCUUUUGGAAAAACACGAUAUGCAAGAGAUACUUUUCAUUUAGAUGGCAGGAUUUAAUGGUUACUAUGAAUUUUCUGGUAAUUUGAAGAGGAGUUGUCUAUGGAGAUGAUGAAAGAAGUAAUUGGCAAUGACAACAGACAAGACAUUGUUUAGAAUCAUGAUUUAGUAGAUAGAACUGUAAUAUUCAUAAAUCACAGGGCCAAUUUCCAGUUUGUGUUGAUAGUUUUUGGGUUACCAGGUAUACUGGAAGAGUCUCUUUAGAACAGCCAUUAAAUGCUGAAGGCAAGGGCUGUAUCUUUUGCACUUACCAAAAUAAGGUUUUCCCUAUGUGUGGUAUUAUGGAGAACGGGAAGUGAGAUGUUGCUACAAAGUUUAUUGUCAUGCUUUAUCAUUUGGAAUAGCAAGAUGAUCAAAAGUUGAUGGGUAACUUUUCCUUUUAUUGAUAAAUAGAAGUUACAAACUAAAGAGGCAAGGAAGUCCAUAGAAGUUUUUAGUUCCUUUUAUUGAUAAAUAGAAAACCCCCAUGUCACUGUUUAGCAUAUAUGGGUCAAAGUUCUUAAACACAAUAUUCUGUUUGCUCACUUGUAGACCUUGCCCAAGUAUUGAUAAUGGAUCAUUUUUCUCUCA